rnacentral:rRNA from 1 species
GGGCCUCAGGUCAGAUGAGAUGACCCGUUGAAUUUAAGCAUAUUAAUAAGCGGAGGAAAAGAAACUAACCAGGAUUCCCCCAGUAGCGGCGAGUGAAGCGGGAACAGCCCAAGCCUGUAAUCUCCGACGCAUUGCGUCGGCGAAUUGUAGUCUGGAGAAGGGCCAUCACUGCAGCGGUCCUCCCGAAGUUGCCGAGGAAAGGCGCGCCGUAGAGGGUGAUAGCCCCGUGCACGGGAGAGACCGACUGUGGCACAUGAGGCCUCUUCGGAGAGUCGGGUUGUUUGGGAUUGCAGCCCAAAGUGGGUGGUGAACUCCAUCUAAGGCUAAAUACUGGCACAAGACCGAUAGCGAAC